GAAUCAGAGGAAUCCAAUGGUUUUAUUAAAAGAGGACACAGUAAAGGCUCAUGGUGAGUGUUGAUGUGAAGUGAUUUCUUCCCAGUGAGCAGAAUGUCAAAGUGAAGAAAUUCAAUGAAGGACAGGAAUAUGGGAAGAACUAUGACUCUCUUAAGAUAGUCUCCUCAUUUAAUCUGUGACACACAUGGUUGAAUGAACAAGAUUCCC
rfam:Rattus norvegicus chromosome 12, whole genome shotgun sequence.